UACGUAGGGGGCAAGCGUUAUCCGGAUUUACUGGGUGUAAAGGGAGCGUAGACGGCAUGGCAAGUCAGAUGUGAAAGCCCGGGGCUCAACUCCGGGACUGCAUUUGAAACUGUCAGGCUGGAGUGCAGGAGAGGUAAGCGGAAUUCCUAGUGUAGCGGUGAAAUGCGUAGAUAUUAGGAGGAACACCAGUGGCGAAGGCGGCUUACUGGACUGUAACUGACGUUGAGGCUCGAAAGCGUGGGGAGCAAACAGG
rnacentral:rRNA from 1 species